rnacentral:lncRNA from 1 species
AUGGUCUCCUUCUGCGCCUCCCGGCAGCGGGAUCCGCAAGCCGGUCUCUGGCUCCUGCGGGAAGACGCAGACACCUGGCCAAACCCUGGGGGCAGCCGAGGUAGAGAUCAGGUACACGUUUACACUUGGGUGCACAGCUGCGGAGCCGACCCGACUCCUUGCACCGGCAGUUCCGCUCGCUCAUUUUCUGGACUGGAGCCACCGGCGAAGGAAGGUGCUUGGGAUGGAGAAAACUUAAGAAGAUGGAGCUAAGUACACUUGGCUAUUAACCAUCAGAUUGCAACGUUCAAGACUAAAACUGUUUGCUCAUAAGUGGUUGGUGUCAUGUUUUUCCUGCCAAUCAUUAUAAAAAUACAAAAAUGAUGCUUUCAAAUUGUUUUAUUGCCCACCAAACUAAAUGUUUGUUGAAGAAUCUUGAUCAGAUAAUUAUGAGAAGUUAGGAAACACGCAGGAGGUCAUUAUAGUUCAUAAAUUUUACUUGUCAGUUUACAUCUGAAUAAUGUAAUAAUAUAAUAUGCUUAAGGCCACACAGCUAGUGGGGACUGAGCUGAACCUGGAAUCCAGGUCUACCAAUUCAGGAGAGGCUAUGUGGUGAAGUAAAAAUAACCCUCAGUUCCCAUUAAUAAUCAUCUUUGGAACCCAGGUAUUUGGAGAAGCAGUCUUUUGAUCAAGAGAUAUUUGAGCCACCUAGCACCACUCCUGACAUGCAGACAUGCUUAGUCCCCCCCACCUCCUUGCUUUUAUCCCUUCAAGAGUUUCCUGUUCUAAAGUAGGGCUAGCAAAUCUAAAUAGGUCAGAAAGACCUCUCAACUGUUGACACAUACAAACAUUACAGUAAAAAUUAAGUCGGAAGAUAACUAUGCCUUGAUUUCAACUCUAAUCACAAGUAAUAUACUCCUUUAAAAAAAAAAAAAAUUCCCCAUCAUCAUAUUUCCAGCUGCUGUGGCCCAAGAAUACAUCUUUACUCAAAAGAUGCAAAAUCCAGGAAACAUGCAAAUAUCUGGAAAAAAAAAAGCACAUUGCAAUUACUAUUCAUAAAAAUUUGGAGAAAAAACCCUUUAAGCUCACUAAGUUUGAUACCUUUGUGCACUAUGUGCAGAGCAAGUGUGGGGCAGGAGAGUUCCUCACCUGAAGCCACUGUCCUCUUUACGGCCACCUCUUAAGUCUUCAAGACCAAACAAUGCCAACAGAGGCUUGACACCACAUGUGUGUCCUUGCUAGCUACUUGACCUGCUCUGGGUAAAAGACAGAAUCCUUGGAUGAGCUUCCCCAGUGCGGACAGGCCCGAAGCGUGCCCUCUAUUCCAGGGAGCACCAGCUCCUUUAAUUGGCUCUUGCAUCUAGGAUACUCCGUCUCUGAGGAGCGGGAGAGAUACAGUCCAGAAAGCAGAAUGCACUAAGGGAGAAAAUAAUCCAGAAAGAAAAGCCAGUUAGGUGAAUGGUUUUCAGUGAAGUAACCUCAAGUGGGACUUGGAAGAGGGACCAGGAGCCUCAGCCCAAGAACUGAACACUAGUCGCGGGUGGCUGAAGGUGCACCAGAACCAGAACUGGAACGUGCCUUCCUAAGAGAUGGUAGCAACGUGGCCCCAAGAGUGCUACCAGUCUCAAUUUAGCUGUUCUGUUGAGCCCUUUCUGCAGAUCAGGUGCAGGGAAACACGGAGGGGCUCUGGAGUGGGCAGUGUGUGCUGAGGCUCCGAGUGGGGGAGGAGGUUCUCCAAGGUCACAACCUGGGGUUUGAAGUGAAGGACCUUUCCCUCGUUUCUGCUCACAGCUGCCGAGAUCUGGAUCCUGGGCCUCUGGGCUUCACGCCUCCACCUCUCUUUCCACCUAAAUGAUAAAAGCGGGUUUGGGGCCUGAAAAUCCUCACAAAGGAAAACACUGGGCUCGGCUGAGAACCCGAGAAGAGAACUGAGGGCGCUUGCUCGGUGCUCCACACUUCCAGCCCAUCGCCCCUGGGCGCAUCAGUCCCCGCUUCCCACAGAUUACUGGGUCCUGGCUGGGCCGCCGGACCUCACCGAGCGCGCCCAGGAAGCCAUAGGUCUCCCGCGUCACGCCCCGGUUCAGGGCCUUCUGCGCGGGCCGCAGACACCCCCACUCCUCCGGGGCGAAGUACACGGCCACAUCCGACAAACCUCACGGCCCCUGGGCUGCUUCCCUCGUCCGCCCGGUCCCGGCCUCCCCGGGCACAUCCGCCACCGGGAACCGUACCGGGGUCGGCGCCAUGGGAAACCCUUCUGUGCUUCGCAGAGAGGCUUCCGGAAAAUGUGGAAACGCAAUUACCUGUUUCCGCCCUUCCUUGGAAAACGUCCUGAAGGCCCACAGUCCUGCCCUUAGCUAAGAUGGUGCCCUCCCCGGCCUCAACAUCCCUCGCCUUUCUUAUCUGCCCUUCCAUGCCAAGGGGCAAAUCGGAAGGGAGGUUGGACUCCACGGCGUAACCGUAGAGAGAUAGCGUGCGUUGAUUGGACAGCGCCGGUCGCUAGG